rnacentral:rRNA from 1 species
UACGAAGGGGGCUAGCGUUGUUCGGAAUCACUGGGCGUAAAGCGCACGUAGGCGGAUGAUUAAGUCAGGGGUGAAAUGCCAAGGCUCAACCUUGGAACUGCCUUUGAUACUGGAGAUCUUGAGUCCGGAAGAGGUAAGUGGAACUGCGAGUGUAGAGGUGAAAUUCGUAGAUAUUCGCAAGAACACCAGUGGCGAAGGCGGCUUACUGGUCCGGAACUGACGCUGAGGUGCGAAAGCGUGGGGAGCAAACAGG